ACUCUCCUCUCCUCUCCGCCUCACCUUGCCCUGCCCGCACACACCACCUGUCCCCGCACGGCCGCACCGCUCCGCUCCCGAGGCUUAGGGCUCCGGCCGCGCUCCCUUCCCUUCCCGGCAUUCCCGAUCUCUCGCCGCCGCCCGCCUGGCCUUGAUCUCGAUCGCCCUCCCCUCUCCGCUCUCGCUCCGGCAGGCCGGCCCGGGUUUGUCUCGCCGCUAUUGGGCCUCGGCACGCUGCGAUGGUGUCGGGCGUGUGCGUGGGGACGGAGGGGCAGGUGGACCCUGAGGCGGUGGCGCCGGCUGUCGCGGAGGAGGCGGUGGUGCCGGCGCCCGCGAGGGAGGUCGUGGUGGGGUACGCGCUCACGAGUAAGAAGGCCAAGAGCUUCCUCCAACCCAAGCUCCGGGGGCUCGCCAGGAAAAAGGGAAUCUUGUUUGUCGCUAUUGAUCAGAAACGCCCAUUGUCUGAUCAAGGUCCAUUUGACAUUGUUCUUCAUAAGUUGACUGGAAGGGGGUGGCAGCAAUUGCUGGAGGAAUAUAGGGAGGCACACCCAGAAGUUACUGUUCUUGAUCCACCUGGCGCAAUAGCAAACUUGCUUGAUCGCCAGUCUAUGCUUCAAGAAGUAUCUGAAUUGGACCUCACAGAUUGUCAUGGUAAAGUACGUGUGCCUAAGCAGCUAUUCGUUAAUACUGAUCCCUCAUCAAUACCAGCUGCAGUUAGGAGGGCAGGUCUCUCUCUCCCAUUGGUGGCAAAACCCUUGGUGGCGAAGUCCCAUGAGCUAUCCCUUGCUUAUGAUCCAACUUCACUGACCAAACUUGAGCCCCCCUUGGUUCUUCAGGAAUUUGUUAACCAUGGUGGCGUCAUGUUUAAGGUGUACAUUGUUGGGGAUGCAAUAAGGGUUGUACGUCGAUUUUCACUCCCAAAUGUUGAUGAAGGCGAUCUAUCGAACAAUGCUGGGGUAUUUCGGUUUCCAAGGGUCUCUUGUGCUGCAGCCAGUGCAGAUGAUGCAGAUCUUGACCCUCGUGUUGCUGAACUUCCUCCGAGACCAUUGCUUGAGAUCUUGGCACGAGAGCUGCGCCGACGACUGGGUCUUAGACUAUUCAACAUCGAUAUGAUUAGGGAGCAUGGGACGCGAGAUCGGUUUUAUGUCAUAGACAUGAACUACUUUCCUGUGCAUUGCUGACACUAAUAUGAAAUACCAAAUUGGAGACACUGCGAAUAGAGGUAGUUUAUCUCCCGUGUCAUCAUGACUAAUGAUGAUAUCAGGUAUACUGCUUGAUGGAUGUACUGAACGAACGAGAUGCCUGUGCUGUGACACUUGUUCCACUCUGUCGGUUUUAUUGUUUUUAAAAACAGUUUGGAGUCCAAAGAGUGGCUAGAACCUGGCACGCCGAAGUUAUCCCAGCUCAGCCUGUUUUCUUGGUACGGCAAAAUGCCUGGAUACGAGCACGUGUUCACCGACUUCCUGCUGAGCCUUGCCAAGAAAGAGUACAAGAGACGACAAAGCUAUAGCUCGCUAAGCUCAGGCGAAUGGUGAUAAGCGAGGAGACUACUCGGCGGGGCAUGUAUAUGUCUAUCAUCCACGAUGCGUGCGUACAGAUGUACUUGUGCAUGACGAGAGAUAAUGGGUCGUAGAAGCGGAGGGCUGUUGUCAGGCUAUAACUAACUGUUGCUUUACAUGUGCUAACUGUUGAUGCUUCAGAAUAAAUUUUGUUUGGGUGGAUGAUGGCUCUGCUGAAAUCGAGCUACUUGUAGAACUUAUGACUGGAACCUCGAAAUAAACGGAGAAUUUGGAUUACGUAC